rnacentral:rRNA from 1 species
ACUCUCGGCAAUGGAUAUCUCAGCUCUCGCAUCGAUGAAGAACAUAGUGAAAUACAAUACUUAGUAUGAAUUGCAAAAUCCCGUGAACCAUCGAGUCUUUAAACGCAAGUUGCGCCCGAAGCCACUAGGCCAAGGGCACGCCUGCCUGGGUGUCGCGCAUCGCGUCGCCCCCUCCCCGUACCCAAAUGCACGGCAGGGGUAGAAAGUAGUCCCCCGUGCGCGGUGCCGUGCGAUCGGCCCAAAUGUGAUCCCCGGCGACGCACCUCACGACAAGUGGUGGUUGAACCCUCAACGUGCUUUUUCGUGCACCACCAUGUCGGGAUGCAUGAUUAGACCCAAUGGAUUUCCCUAGUAUCAGCGAGCAAACCGGGAAUCCUAACUUGAGAUUCGGGCGGCCAUGCCGUUCGAAUUGUAGUCUAGAGAAGGGUCCUCAGCGGUGGACCGGGGUCGAGUCCCCUGGAAUGGGGCAUCAUAGAGGGUGAGAGCCCCAUUGCUCCCGGACCCUGUCGCACCAUGAGGCGCUAUUGGCGAAUAGGGUUGUUUGGGAAUACAACCCCAAUCAGGCGGUAAAUUCCGUCCAAGGCUAAAUACGGGCGACAGACCGAUAGCGAACAAGUACCGCGAGGGAAAGAUGAAAAGGACUUUGAAAAGAGAGUCAAAAAGUGCUUGAAAUUGUCGGGAGGGAAGCGAAUGGGGGCCGACGAUGCAUCCCGGUCGGAUGUGGAAUGGCAAGAGUUGGUCGGCUGAUCGACUCGAGGCGUGGACCAGCACGGAUCAAUGCGACACUCAAAGCUCAGGCGGUUGAUAUGCUCGUUGUAUGGUGUCGCAUCAAUCCAGGCAGACAACGCGCGCCUCGUGUGUGCCUCAAUAACUGUGCUUUCCCGGUGCAGGCUUGAGGGCUCCCCAUUCGACCCGUCUUGAAACACGGACCAAGGAGUCUGACAUGUGCGCGAGUCAAUGGGCGAUUAAACCUGUAAGGUGCAAGGAAGCUGACUGAUAUGAUCCCCCCGAGGGGUGCACCACCGACCGACAUUGUUCGCUGCCCUCCAACUCACCUGCCGAAUCAACUAGCCCCAAAAAUAUAUGGCGCUGAAGCGCUAUACCCGGCCGUCGGGGCAAGGGCCAUGCCCCGAUGAGUAGGAGGGUGAAGCUCGGUGUGGAUCUUAGUGGUAGUAACAAAUAUUCAAAUGAGAACUUUGAAGGCCGAACAAGGGAAAGGUUCCAUGUGAAUGGCACUUGCACAUGGGUUAGUCGAUCCUAUGGGUCGGGGGAUGCCCGACAGACAGCAUGUUCAAUGCGUGCUCCAAAAGGAAAUCGGGUUAAAAUUCCCGAAUCGGGAUGCGGCAGUUGACGACAACAUUAAGGAGUCUGGAGACGUCGGCAGGGGCCUCAGGAAGACUUAUCUUUUCUGUUUAAUAGCCCGCCCACCUUGGAAAUGGCUCAGCCGGAUGUAGGGUCCAGCGGCUGGAAGAGCACCGCACGUCGCGUGGUAUCCGGUGCGCCCUCGGCGGCCCUUAAAAAUCCAGAGGAUCGAGUAUCAUCUGCGCCCAGUCGUACUCAUAACCGUAUCAGGUCUCCAAGGUGAACAGCCUCUGGUCUAUGGAAUAAUGUAGGCAAGGGAACUCAGCAAAAUGGAUCUGUAACCUCAGGAAAAGGAUUGGCUCUGAGGGCUGGGCACGAGGGUCCGAGUCCUGAACCCGUCGGCUAUCGGAAAACUGCUCGAGCUGCUCGCGCAGCAAGAGUGGGUCAUCGCGUGCCAGUCGGGGGACGGACUGGGAAUGGCUCCCUCGGGGGCCUUCCCCAGGCAUCGAACAGUAGACUCAGAACUGGUAUGGACAAGGGGAAUCCGACUAUUUAAUUAAAACAAAGCAUUGCAAUGGUCCCUGCGGAUGCUCACGCGAUGUGUUUUCUGCCCAGUGCUCUGAAUGUCAAAAUGAAGAAAUUCAACCAAGUGCGGGUAAAGGGCGGGAGUAACUAUGACUCUCUUAAGGUAGCCAAAUGCCUCGUCAUCUAAUUAGUGAUGCACAUGAAUGGAUUAACGAGAUUUCCACUCUCCCUGUCUACUAUCCAGCGAAACCACAGCCAAGGGAAAGGGCUUGGCAGAAUCAGCAGGGAAAGAAGACCCUGUUGAGCUUGACUCUAGUCUGACUUUGUGAAAUGACUUGAGAGGUGUAGGGUAAGUGGGAGCCAAAAGGAAAAAGUGAAAUACCACUACUUUAAACGUUAUUUUACUUAUUCCGUGAAUCAGAGGCGGGGCAUCGCCCCUCUUUUUGGACCCAAGGCUCGCCCCAAUGGGCCGAUCUGGGCAGAAGACAUUAUCAGGUGGGGAGUUUGGCUAGGGCGACACAUCUGUUAAAAGAUAACGCAAGUGUCCUAAGAUGAGCUCACUGAGAACAGAAAUCUCGUGUGAAAUAGAAGGGUAAAAGCUCGUUUGAUUCUAAUUUUUAGUACGAAUACGAACCGUGAAAGCAUGUCCUAACGAUCCUUUAGACCUUCAGAAUUUGAAGAUAGAGGUGUCAGAAAAGUUACCACAGGGAUAACUGGCUUGUGGCAGCCAAGCAUUCAUAGCGACAUUGCUUUUUGAUCCUUCGAUGUCGACUCUUCCUAUCAUUGUGAAGCAGAAUUCACCAAGUAUUGGAUUGUUUACCCUACUGAUGAUGGUGUCGCAAUAGUAAUUCUACCUAGUACGAGAGGAACCGUUGAUUUGCACAAUUGGUCAUCGCGCUUGGUUUAAAUGCCAGUGGCGCGAAGCUACCAUGCGCUGGAUUAUGAUUGAAUGUCUCUAAGUCAGAAUCUGAGCUAGACGCGAUGCAUGUGCCCAUCGUCCGCUCCCCGACCCGUAGUAGGGGCCCCCAGGCCCCCAAGGGCACGUGUCGUUGGCUAAGCCCCCGCGGUGGACGAGCUGCGUGGGCCGCCUUAAAGUACAAUUCCAAUCGAGCGGCGGGUAGAAUCCUUUGCAGAACACUUAAAUACAUGACUGGGUAUUGU